rnacentral:rRNA from 1 species
UUUUAUGGAGAGUUUGAUCCUGGCUCAGAGUGAACGCUGGCGGCGUGCCUAAUACAUGCAAGUCGAACGAUGAAGCUUCUAGCUUGCUAGAAUGCUGAUUAGUGGCGCACGGGUGAGUAACGCAUAGGUUAUGUGCCUCUUAGUUUGGGAUAGCCAUUGGAAACGAUGAUUAAUACCAGAUACUCCCUACGGGGGAAAGAUUUAUCGCUAAGAGAUCAGCCUAUGUCCUAUCAGCUUGUUGGUAAGGUAAUGGCUUACCAAGGCUAUGACGGGUAUCCGGCCUGAGAGGGUGAACGGACACACUGGAACUGAGACACGGUCCAGACUCCUACGGGAGGCAGCAGUAGGGAAUAUUGCUCAAUGGGGGAAACCCUGAAGCAGCAACGCCGCGUGGAGGAUGAAGGUUUUAGGAUUGUAAACUCCUUUUGUUAGAGAAGAUAAUGACGGUAUCUAACGAAUAAGCACCGGCUAACUCCGUGCCAGCAGCCGCGGUAAUACGGAGGGUGCAAGCGUUACUCGGAAUCACUGGGCGUAAAGAGCGCGUAGGCGGGAUAGUCAGUCAGGUGUGAAAUCCUAUGGCUUAACCAUAGAACUGCAUUUGAAACUACUAUUCUAGAGUGUGGGAGAGGUAGGUGGAAUUCUUGGUGUAGGGGUAAAAUCCGUAGAGAUCAAGAGGAAUACUCAUUGCGAAGGCGACCUGCUGGAACAUUACUGACGCUGAUUGCGCGAAAGCGUGGGGAGCAAACAGGAUUAGAUACCCUGGUAGUCCACGCCCUAAACGAUGGAUGCUAGUUGUUGGAGGGCUUAGUCUUUCCAGUAAUGCAGCUAACGCAUUAAGCAUCCCGCCUGGGGAGUACGGUCGCAAGAUUAAAACUCAAAGGAAUAGACGGGGACCCGCACAAGCGGUGGAGCAUGUGGUUUAAUUCGAAGAUACACGAAGAACCUUACCUAGGCUUGACAUUGAGAGAAUCCGCUAGAAAUAGUGGAGUGUCUGGCUUGCCAGACCUUGAAAACAGGUGCUGCACGGCUGUCGUCAGCUCGUGUCGUGAGAUGUUGGGUUAAGUCCCGCAACGAGCGCAACCCCCUUUCUUAGUUGCUAACAGGUCAUGCUGAGAACUCUAAGGAUACUGCCUCCGUAAGGAGGAGGAAGGUGGGGACGACGUCAAGUCAUCAUGGCCCUUACGCCUAGGGCUACACACGUGCUACAAUGGGGUGCACAAAGAGAAGCAAUACUGCGAAGUGGAGCCAAUCUUCAAAACACCUCUCAGUUCGGAUUGUAGGCUGCAACUCGCCUGCAUGAAGCUGGAAUCGCUAGUAAUCGCAAAUCAGCCAUGUUGCGGUGAAUACGUUCCCGGGUCUUGUACUCACCGCCCGUCACACCAUGGGAGUUGUGUUUGCCUUAAGUCAGGAUGCUAAAUUGGCUACUGCCCACGGCACACACAGCGACUGGGGUGAAGUCGUAACAAGGUAACCGUAGGUGAACCUGCGGUUGGAUCACCUCCUUUCUAGA